rnacentral:rRNA from 1 species
GACGAACGCUGGCGGCGUGCCUAAUACAUGCAAGUAGAACGCUGAAGGAGGAGCUUGCUCUUCUGGAUGAGUUGCGAACGGGUGAGUAACGCGUAGGUAACCUGCCUGGUAGCGGGGGAUAACUAUGGAAAACGAAAGCUAAUCCCCCAUAACAUUGGAUUUUGAAUAAAAUUUCUUUAAAAGUUGAAAUUCCCCCACAACCAGAGGGACCUCGUUGUAUUAGCUAGUUGGUGGGGUAACGGCCCACCAAGGCGACGAAACAUAGCCGACCUGGGAGGGUGAUCGGCCACACUGGGACUGAGACACGGCCCAGACUCCUACGGGAGGCAGCAGUAGGGAAUCUUCGGCAAUGGACGGAAGUCUGACCGAGCAACGCCGCGUGAGUGAAGAAGGUUUUCGGAUCGUAAAGCUCUGUUGUAAGAGAAGAACGAGUGUGAGAGUGGAAAGUUCACACUGUGACGGUAUCUUACCAGAAAGGGACGGCUAACUACGUG